AGUGUGACUUUUGUGCCCCUUCCCCUACUGAGUGCAUCCCUGACUGGACACUAUUGAACUUACAGCAGGGAUAGGGCUACCUGUGCCUUGAGUGCUGUGUCUGGCACGGGGACACUGACCAAUAAGCAACAGGCGUAUUGAUCCCAGAAAGAGAGAGACAGCUUGUGCAGUGGCAGUUGCAGCCGUCUUUAGAGACAGUUGGCAGUUGGGCAGCAGCCAUCUUAGAGGGACUCAGAGCUGCAACUUGGAGCAGAGGCAGCUGCUGGUGUGUGACAGGAUUGCUGUACAGUUUAUGUUAUGCCAGUUUCGAAUCCCAUGACCAGAGAUCAUCAUCAACAGCCAAUCAGUAAUACCAGCUUCCUGUGGGGAUCUCACUUCUUCCGAUGGUGCUGGCUGGCAGGCAUCUGACAGAGCAGAACAGUGAUGGGUUCUACUGACUGUGUAGUUGGAAACUAGGCCACGCAGCCUACCCUCCCUUUUGAAGUACAGCCCUGGAGGUAGCCCUGCUUUGGAGUAACAGAUGGUGGGAGGAGCAGAGACAGUGUCUUACUGCAGACAGAGGUCAGCUUAUGAUGGUUAAUUAAGGCCAACCUAACCCUUGUAACACAGGUGUGCCAUCAGCUUUGAAGUGGAUGAACACUGGACAGGUGCAUCGUCAGCACUGGAGUAGAUGGACAUUGGACAGGUGCAUCAUCAGCACUGUUGCGGAUGGACACUGGACAGGUAUGUCGGCAGCACUGGAGCAGAUAGACACUGGAUAGCUGCAUCAGCAGCACAGGUACAUAUGGACACUGGACAGCCACUUCUGGAUGUACAUAGCACAGCCACUUAAUGGACACAGCACAGCCACUUAAUGGACACAGCACAGCCACUUGUAUGGAGUCUGGAUACAGCAUAAUGACUUAUAUGGAUAAAGACCCAGCCACUAGUAUUAAGACCAGAGUACAGCGCAGCAUACAGCAACAUGCCUUGUACACAGAACAGCCUCUUGUAUUAGUCUGGAGUCUGGACACAGCAGCUUGAUAAGCAGAGCACAGUGCAGCAUACAGCAGUGUGCUGAGACAGUGAAAUCAUACCAAAUGACUGCUGCAGGUUCCUUAAAUAGAAUCCAAAACCUGUGAAAAUCUAAUGCCAGCAGUAUGAUGUUUUGCCUCAAUCUGGACUCUAAGUCUGGCGGGAUCACCUGAGCCACGACGAGUUUGGAUUCCAGUUAUCCACUACUUGCCAUAUGAUUAAUUACCAUCUUUAGUCCAGAAGUCCUUGUGGCCUAAUAAAAGAACUUCCUUUGGAGAUUGCUGUCAUUGAAUCACUCUUGCAUAUCAAUCUAUCCUACCUCCUUGAAACCGAUACAAUGAACAAGGUAUGAGGGGAACAUCUUAGGGAAAGGGUCUAUCACCUACUGUAGCCACUGGUCCCUCCUCCAACCACUUUGACACCUGCCAACCCCGGGGUGUUACAUAAGCUGUCCUACUUAGUAAAUGUGUAUACAUACAGUAAUUAAAAAAUAAAUGGAAUGUCAUAA